UAUAUUUUUUAAAGCGCUAUUCCAUAUGUUACUGUAUUAUAGGAAAUAAUUAUUUUGAAAUGAUUUUUUCCUAAUCUACUUGGACCAACACAACACGUUUCCUGUAUUUAUUAUUGCAUAACUGACCUUAAUCCAGUGCUUCUUAGAGAUUACUGUUUCCUUCCUUCUGCCUUACCUCUGCAGGGUUAUUUGAAUGGCCGUUCGAGGCUCCCUUGGACUGUUGGCUUGUUUGUCUUUUGUGCUCUUUCAGGGAGCACCCAGGUUGUUUACUGUUGACUAUUUCUUCUGGAGUCUUCUUACCUUCUGCUUGCCCAAGGCCUCUUUCUGUGUUUUUACAUUACUUCCCAGGGCCUUGUUUACCCUGUACACAGCCUGCUGGCAACAGGCAUUCCUCGGUGAGUCCCGCCAGCUUACCUGAGCAAGGCGACCCCUGAGGCCCUGCCUGUGCACCUGCCCACUUGAGUCUUUGCUUGGUCACCGCUGCUGUACACGGAGGUCUUAGACCAUUGCUUUCUGCAGAAGCAGGCAUUUGCACAAGGAUCUCGCCUCUUGGUACUGCUAAGUCUCUCUGGAACGGUAGCUUCUGAGCCAGUCCUUCCACCUCAGUUUGCCCUGACAGCUGUUGACAGCCAUCCACAGCGGCCAGCUGUUCUUGGCGGACCCUGGAAGGUAGCUGGCCUUGGGCCUCUCUGCCAGACUGGGUGAAACCAGCAGGUGCUCUGGCUGCUGCCUUCUCCAGGCUUUCCUUCCAAUAGUUACAAGAACAGCAGAAGGUUGUGUCCUGUCCCUGGCUUUCAGGAUGGGAGAAGCCCAGCAUGCACUUGAGAGGUUGACCUUGCUGUCUGGGAAUAAGACCAUCUCACUUCCUAAGCACUGUGCAAAACCUCACGUCCCCACCACAUUUAGUUGUUUGGUGCUGAGGGUUGAACUCAGGGUCUCACGUAUGCUAAGCAAGGCUCUCCCACUGACUGCACCCUUAGUUCAUAGUUUACGAUGUGCUUAUCAGGGAGCAGUUGGGGUUCCCGAAGUAGCUUUGGGGGAGAUGAUGAAAUUGGAAAAACUCUCUUGAUGUGACAUAAAAGAAUAGAUCUGAUGUUCACUGUUGAAAAGUAACACUCAAAACAUCUCCCUUGAGAAAGUCAUUUGGAAUUUACCAUGUCUGGCUGCGGUCCACAUCUGCUCGCAU